CCCAGUAACCCUGACAGACCAGCCCUCAGGAAAAGCCACAUGGAUCAUAACUGCUGUCCCGUGGUUUGGAAUCACAAUCCGAGACAUCUUAAAGAUCUCAGAGCCCAGUGCAAAUCAAGAAAACUGCAGAGGAGGAGUUCUGGUGAAGCACAGGUAAAGGGGAGAACCGACUCUCUUAAAAAUCUGCAGUUUACGAAGGCAAGACCAGAAGAGAAAGCUGAAAAAAAAAAUGUGAUCAAAUAGAAAGCCCAGUCAAGUGAAGAGAAGCUUUUCAUUCAGUACAAUAGCACUUUAAAAUGUAUAAAAGCUACAGCAGUAUCGUCACUCUGUCUCCCAGAUGUGAAAAAAAUCACACCACGACCCUCAUCGUGACAACGAAGCAAUAUAAAAUUUAAUUAAAUCUCUUUAGAUGA